rnacentral:lncRNA from 1 species
UGGAAUGAUUUCGCUAGUCACUUAAUGUGACUAGCGAUUUACUCUCAUCAAUUAGAUAGAUGAGAUAUAAGAUAUGCUAUAUAUAUAUAUAGAGAGAAAUGAUUCGGUACUUUAUUAUUAAAAAAAUAAGAUAGAUCUUAACCGUUGAUUAAUAGAGGGUAAAGAUGUAAUUUUAAUAUUUAGCAGGUAAAUGGGUUACAUCAUUCGAGAUUAUUUCGGUAACUAAACUAUACAACAUUUAAAGAAACUUUUAAUUGAU